rnacentral:piRNA from 1 species
GCCUGAGGAAAAUACCUUAGA